rnacentral:rRNA from 1 species
CAGUAGCCGCGGUAAUACAGAGGGUGCGAGCGUUAAUCGGAUUUACUGGGCGUAAAGCGUGCGUAGGCGGCUUUUUAAGUCGGAUGUGAAAUCCCUGAGCUUAACUUAGGAAUUGCAUUCGAUACUGGUAAGCUAGAGUAUGGGAGAGGAUGGUAGAAUUCCAGGUGUAGCGGUGAAAUGCGUAGAGAUCUGGAGGAAUACCGGUGGCGAAGGCGGCCCCCUGGACAAAGACUGACGCUCAGGUGCGAAAGCGUGGGGAGCAAACAGGAUUAGAUACCCCAGUAGUCCCUGUCUCUUAUAC